CAGGGCCAAGCACCAACCCACAACAAUCAGAUCAAGAAGAACGGGAUGUAGACCCUACACCUGGGACAAGCACCGACAACGUUCAACGAAGGGUUAAGCGGAAACGAUCCAAUGACCCCAGCAGCAGAUCAACGACCAUCUUGAGUCCAAGCAAUAUGUUGGAUACAAAUCGAAAUGACCUUGCUUCAACCUCAGCGACCAAAGUAUUUGAGGAUGAUAGAUUGAAGGCUUUUUGCCAAAAGAAGAGGAGUCAUCGCUAUACUAAACAUGGUAUAAAUGACAUUGUCUAUCUGAUUUGGUUCGCUCGCAAGCAAAACGUAUCACUUUUGGUGGUAAGUUUAACAUCCAUGUUUAGGGAAGUCAUAAAGCAUGUUUGGGAAAAACUCCAACAAACUUUCUCCGAGGAAGAAAAUCGUCAAAUAUACAUGGUAAGAACUAACGCGAAUGAAAGUUUAAGCCAGGCCAUAACUUGAUGUGCUCCUAUGGAUUUCAGACUUUCAGCGUCGAAGGAAUGCAUCACGGAUUAAACACGGGUUAAAGAUGAACCAGGGAGUGGAGCUUAGGGUCAAAAUCUUGUCCCUUGAGCAUGUGGACCACAAAGUGGCAACACAAGGCUUUGUACCUCAGGUUCCAAUCAAUCAACAAGCAGGGGUGGAUAUUUUCAAAUGUUUCCUUGGGAAUUCAAUGUUCAAUUUGACGAUAACGAUUUGCAUUUCAAGGACAAUAGUCUUGUUUCCUCGGUGACGGCAGCUUUUUUCUGGAACAAUUUCUAAACAAGGCAGAUUUGAGAACUUGGGGCACAAUCCGAUUUUUGAAUUCUCUGACGUCAAAACGAAGGCAGCGUGCUCAAAUCCUUCUGAAUGAGAAAUCAAUAGAAAUUGCAAAUCGGUUGAACAUAUCGUUCGGAGGGCUUCAAAAAGUUGAAGUGUUCGGUGAUAUUGCCGCAGUGUUGGAGAUGAACAUUGUUGUCCAUGGAUCGCAUGGAAUAUCAUAUAUGUUUCCCCCGACCUAUGCUCCUCAAC